AAUCAAAAUAAAUUUGUAUCAUAUAUCAAAAUAUAUUCUGUUACUUCUUUAUUUAUUUAUAAAAUAUAACCUGUUGUGGUGAUAAUUUUUUUUUUGCAAGAAUCUAUUUUUAACACAGUGCUCUCUGAAGGAAAACUUCUAAAAUGGAGGUGUUAUACUGUUGCUAUGCCAAUAUUAUCUAUAUUAUAUUCAUAUUUUUAUUGAUAUAUAAUUUUCAGGGGCUGUAGAUUUUGGUAAUGCAUAUCUUGAUUCUAAAAACCUGAGGGCUGUUGAAUGCAACGAAAUAAACAAUGCAAAAGAUGCAAAUGAUUUUGGCGGUGCACAUCCUGAUUCAAAAUGCCCAAAUGCUGCACACAAUAAUUCCUCGGUUAAUAAAAAACGUUAGAAUUUCACCCGAUUCAAUUUAUUUGAUGGUUCAACUGAUUUAGAAUAAUUUAUUUAAAAGAAAUAUAUAAUUUUAUUUUA